AUACGGAGGGUGCGAGCGUUAAUCGGAAUUACUGGGCGUAAAGCGUACGUAGGCGGUUGGUUAAGUUAGAUGUGAAAGCCCCGGGCUUAACCUGGGAACUGCAUUUAAAACUGGCAAACUAGAGUUGAGUAGAGGGGAGUGGAAUUUCAGGUGUAGCGGUGAAAUGCGUAGAGAUCUGAAGGAACACCAGUGGCGAAGGCGACUCCCUGGACUCGAACUGACGCUGAGGUACGAAAGCGUGGGUAGCAAACGGGAUUAGAAACCCUUGUAGUCC
rnacentral:rRNA from 1 species